CCAAGGUUACCAGAGUAAUAUAGAAAUAAAGUUAUUAAUAUAUAAACAUACUAAUAUAUAAACAAAACUAUUGAGAACUACUUAAAAACGAGUACUAUUAUAAAAGAAAAUAUUAAUUUUAUAUAAACAUAUAUUUUACUUGGUUAUUAAUGUGACCAAUAGAGAGUAGCUUUUAAUACAACGUGAGCCAAUGAGAGCGCAGAAUGUGGCGCAGCGGAGAAAUUAGUUUCCGGAUUUUGCACGAGGUUUGCUCGUGGAGUCAGAGGCAGCUCUCUCUAUCGUGCAUAGGUGCUGAUGAGCGCGGUGUUUGCUGACGCUCCGGGGAACAGAAACAUAGAAAUAAUCUUCUGGAUGUGUUUUAUCGAUGGAUUGAUGUUAAAGAAAAGGGUUUAAAUCGGACGCGUUGUAACCGCUCCAUUCUGGAAUUUUCUGUGAGUUUAAAGAUCUCCUUGGUCAGGUUUUUUGUUUUUGUUUGGUUUUGUUCUGUUUUUCUUGUUCUGCCCUUGUCCAAAUUGGAUUGCUGUCCUGUCCGAUGUGACGAGAUGUACCGAUGCCUGUAUUCUGGAUUUGUCCCGGCCUUCCAGUGGUUUUG